rnacentral:tRNA from 1 species
UGUUCUGUGGCUUAGUUGGUUAAAGCACCGGUCUAGCGAAUACGGGGUCGGGUGGAUUCGAAUCCCAUCAGAACGC